UACGUAGGCAGCAAGCGUUGUUCGGAGUUACUGGGCGUAAAGGGUGCGUAGGCGGCCUUAUAAGUAUGGUGUGAAAUCUCCCGGCUUAACUGGGAGGGUGCGCUAUAGACUGUGGGGCUAGAGUGUGGGAGAGGAAAGUGGAAUUCCUGGUGUAGCGGUGAAAUGGCGUAGAUAUCAGGAGGAACACCUGCGGGUGUAGACGGCUUUCUGGACCAUUGUUGACGCUGAGACACGAAAGCGUGGGUAGCAAACAGG
rnacentral:rRNA from 1 species